rnacentral:misc_RNA from 1 species
AUCUCCUUUCCAACAAAAAAAGAAUUAUCAAAAUCGGUACAUCCAGUAAAAAGUUAUGUGGUAUAAUACAACGUAGGUCGACGAAAAAAGCGUCAAGUAAAAACGCAUUAUUAGAUAUAACUCGAAAAGUAGUUGUUAGAUCUCAAAUAAAUUUAAAUGGGACCAAUUGGCACACACCACCUUUCGAUUAAAACAAAAUUUGUCGAAAUCGGUCCACCCGGUCAAAAGUUCUGAUGUAACAUACAAAAAAAAAAAAAAAAG